rnacentral:misc_RNA from 1 species
GGAUUGGAUAUGUCUUGUAAGUGCCAUUUUCUAUAUUUGUCCAGAGAAAGUCAUGCUUUGUGUGUGUGUGUCUGCGUGCACAUGCAUGUGUGCUCCUUUUAAUAUCCCAUGUGAUUUGCAUGUCUGCUCAUGUUAAAUCUCUUCGUAUCAUUUGGCUGUGUGAUCAUCGUCCUUCAUUCAGUAUUUGUUUGUUCAACUGUCUUUCAUCACUCUGACAUGAUUGACAUGCCCAUAAUGUUCAGAAUACCGGUCUCUGUCUCUGUCUCU